GGGUGCGCGUGUGUGUGUGCGCAUCUCAAUCCAUCCAAUCCAUCUAACCAUGCAUGAAUGAUGCAUCGGUGGAGCUCUGAAUGAACACGGGGAGAGGCGUGCAUGUGUGUGUGCGCGCUCACACAGACUCCAUAGCAGCAGUGAAGCUGAGAGCAUCUCCUCGGCUGGACGUCUGCACGGAGAAGAGGAAGAAAAGCAGGCAACUUUACAAUUCAAGUCAUCCUCACUGAAGUCAGCCAUGGAGCGGAAGACAAACGAGGGCUCCACCAGCACCUCUCCUCAGAAACACAUGAAGAAUCGCUCCAAAUCCAUAGAGGAGACACAGCAGUCCAAGAGAGGCAUUUCUUCACAGAAAUCGCUCCCAGGAAGACCAGAGCUGGACAGAGUGAAGGAGUGCCUUGAGGCUUCUGAAACGCCCUCGGCCUCCACUGAGGAAUUAAAGGGAUGAACAAAUAGCCAAGUAAUCUUGUCAUCAAUCAUAUACCGUACGAAUAUAUGGAACAAAAUUGUAAUAAAAAGCCAGCGAUAAAUUCAAAAUGUGUUACAUGACCUACAUACCGUAAGCAGUCACAAAAACAUAGAUCUACAUUAAGACAUUGCAUGUGAAGAGAACAUGUUUUUAUCCAGUUCUCCAGUUUGUUUGUUUUUUAGGCUGAAGAACUUUUUUUUUUUUUUCUUCUAAACCUCUCCUGAUUUUGAUCUAAGAAUGGCCAGUUUAUCGGUCGGGCUCCAACUGUUAACAUUGCAAAAUGUGCAUUGACAUGAACAAGUGAUGUCAUUGGGUGUAUUCAUUAAAUUUGUCCUAAACAACAAGCCUAUGAGAGGUUAUGAAACAUUUUAUCUAUCGAUCGAUCGAUCUAUCUAUCUAUACUGUGGAAAGCUGGCUAUCUGCCAUGGAAGAUGAAUAUCUUUUUGAGUGCAUGCUGUCGCCAAUGAACAAAAUCAUCGAUUACUAUAUUUAGUUUGUAUCUCUUGGCCUGCUACCAGCAGAAGGUGUAAUUAUGGAACAUUGUUACUGCUAAUGUAUCAAAUUGUGGGUUAGUGUUGGUUCACUAUUCUCUGCUGCACCAAUUGUGUAAAAGUUCAUCCGCUUAGUUUGGUGAACCACUCAUACAUGCAAUGUAUACCUACAACACAAUGUUAAAACCAUUAUGUGCUAUUCAAACCAUUUUUUUUUCUCCAACUGAGCUCUUAUAAAGGCUCUCCUUGUAGUAGGUGAUGGUUUUGUCAAACAUUAAUAAAAUCCUCUACCC